AGCGUUCAGCCUGGGCCGGCAGUCGUCUGCGCGCGGUCGCUGGCGGCGCACACACGUCGGCAGCCGGAGACCGCCCGCCUAGCAGUGUGCGUGCGGUGUGCGUGUGUAAACACUCCGCCCGGCCGGUGCGUGCUCUCGCCCAGCUACCUACCUGAGCGCCCCAGCCUCAUCUCGCCAAACAAACGCCGGCGACGGCUGCGCUCACGUGACAUUCCACUUCGCUCCUGCUUCACCGCGCACCUCUGCUCGACGAAGCGUCGCCAAGUGAGUACGGGGGAAUGCGUCGGAUUAAGUUGUAACAGCGUUCCACGGCUAACAGGCCCAGUCGUCCAAAGCUGCACUCCCUGUCUAGUCCGGUUGCUGUGGAUUGUCUUUGCUGGCGAACCUUCUGUCGGGUGGUACCGCCCCCGCUGCCGCCAUGCCGCCCCCGCGGCUGCGCC